UACGUAGGGUGCGAGCGUUUAAUCGGAAUUACUGGGCGUAAAGCGUGCGCAGGCGGUGAGCUGUGUCCGAUGUGAAAGCCCCGGGCUUAACCUGGGAAUGGCAUUGGAAACUGGCUCGCUGGAGUGUGGCAGAGGGGGGUGGAAUUCCGCGUGUAGCAGUGAAAUGCGUAGAGAUGCGGAGGAACACCGAUGGCGAAGGCAGCCCCUGGGCUAACACGUGACGCUCGAGGCACGAAAGCGUGGGGAGCAAACAGG
rnacentral:rRNA from 1 species